UCCUACGGGAGGCAGCAGUGGGGAAUUUUCCGCAAUGGGCGAAAGCCUGACGGAGCAAUACCGCGUGAGGGAAGACGGCCUAUGGGUUGUAAACCUCUUUUUUCAGGGAGGAAUUUUGACGUGUACCUGAAGAAUAAGCAUCGGCUAACUCCGUGCCAGCAGCCGCGGUAAGACGGAGGAUGCAAGUGUUAUCCGGAAUCACUGGGCGUAAAGCGUCUGUAGGUGGUUGAACAAGUCAACUGUUAAAUCUUGAGGCUCAACUUCAAAAUCGCAGUCGAAACUGUUUGACUAGAGUAUAGUAGGGGUAAAGGGAAUUUCCAGUGGAGCGGUGAAAUGCGUAGAUAUUGGAAAGAACACCGAUGGCGAAGGCACUUUACUGGGCUAUUACUGACACUCAGAGACGAAAGCUAGGGUAGCAAAUGGGAUUAGAUACCCCAGUAGUCCUAGCCGUAAACAAUGGAUACUAGAUGUUGAACAGAUCGACCUGUGCAGUAUCAAAGCUAACGCGUUAAGUAUCCCGCCUGGGAAGUAUGCUUGCAAGAGUGAAACUCA
rnacentral:rRNA from 1 species